rnacentral:rRNA from 1 species
AUUGAACGCUGGCGGCAGGCCUAACACAUGCAAGUCGAACGAGUGGCGGACGGGUGAGUAAUGUCUGGGAAACUGCCUGAUGGAGGGGGAUAACUACUGGAAACGGUAGCUAAUACCGCAUACCAUCGGAUGUGCCCAGAUGGGAUUAGCUAGUAGGUGGGGUAAAGGCUCACCUAGGCGACGAUCCCUAGCUGGUCUGAGAGGAUGACCAGCGACACGGGAAAUGAGACACGGUCCAGACUCCUACGGGAGGCAGCAGGGGGGAAUAUUGGACAAUGGGCGAAAGCCGGAUGCAGCCAUGCGGGGUGUAUGAAGAAGGCCUUCGGGUUGUAAAGUACUUUCAGCGGGGAGGCGUUACCCGCCUAAGAAGCACCGGCUAAAUCCGUGCCAGCAGCCGCGGUAAUAC